rnacentral:rRNA from 1 species
AUUGAACGCUGGCGGCAUGCCUUACACAUGCAAGUCGAACGGCAGCACGGGUGCUUGCACCUGGUGGCGAGUGGCGAACGGGUGAGUAAUACAUCGGAACAUGUCCUGUAGUGGGGGAUAGCCCGGCGAAAGCCGGAUUAAUACCGCAUACGAUCUACGGAUGAAAGCGGGGGACCUUCGGGCCUCGCGCUAUAGGGUUGGCCGAUGGCUGAUUAGCUAGUUGGUGGGGUAAAGGCCUACCAAGGCGACGAUCAGUAGCUGGUCUGAGAGGACGACCAGCCACACUGGGGCUGAGACACGGCCCAGACUCCUACGGGAGGCAGCAGUGGGGAAUUUUGGACAAUGGGCGAAAGCCUGAUCCAGCAAUGCCGCGUGUGUGAAGAAGGCCUUCGGGUUGGAAGCACUUUUGUCCGGAAAGAAAUCCUUGGCCCUAAUACGGUCGGGGGAUGACGGUACCGGAAGAAUAAGCACCGGCUAACUACGUG